rnacentral:rRNA from 1 species
UGGCGCACGGGUGCAUACGCGUCUGAACCUACCUCGAGUGGGGGAUACCCCGAAGAAAUUCCGAUUAACCCCGCUUCAAUCACAGGACAACAUUGUACAAUGUUCAAAUAUUGUGAGGAUGGAGAUGGGCAUGCCUGACUUUAUCUAGUUGGAGGGGUAACGGCCCACCAAGGCGAUCAUGACUUGGGGAUCUGAGACGACGACCCCCCCCGCUGGUACUGAGACACGGACCCUACUCCUACGGGAGGCAGCGGGGAAUAAUAUUGGUCAAUGGAGGCAACUCUGAACCAGCCAUGCCGCGUGCAAGAAGACAGCCCUCUGGGUCGUAUCUUGCUUUUAUUCAGAAAUAAACCUACUUACUUGUAAUUCCUGCAAUGUACCCCAGGAAUAAGGAUCGGCUAACUCCGCGCCCCCACCCCCGGUAAUACAGAUGAUCCGAGCGUUAUCCUGAUUUAUUGGGUUUAAAGGGUGCGUAGGCGGCUUAUUAAGUCAGGGGUGAAAGAUCGCGGGUCUUCCCUCGCAGUGGCCUUGAUACUGAUGAGCUUGAAUGAACUACAGGUAGGCGGAAUGUGACACGUAGCGGUGAAAUGCGUAGAUAUGUCACAGAACACCGAUUGCGCGGCGCUUACUAUGGUUUUAUUGACACUGACGUGCGAAAGCG